UUCCAGACUCCUACGGGAGGCAGCAGUGGGGGAUAUUGCACAAUGGGGGGAACCCUGAUGCAGCGACGCCGCGUGGGUGAAGGAGUGCUUCGGCAUGUAAAGCCCUAUCGGCAGGGAAGAAGCAAGACGGUACCUGACUAAGAAGCCCCGGCUAACUACGUGCCAGCAGCCGCGGGAAUACGUAGGUGGCAAGCGGUGUCCGGAAUUACUGGGUGUAAAGGGAGCGCAGGCGGGAAGCCAAGUCAGCUGUGAAAACUACGGGCUUAACUUGUAGACUGCAGUUGAAACUGGUUUUCUUGAGUGAAGUAGAGGUUGGCGGAAUUCCGAGUGUAGCGGUGAAAUGCGUAGAUAUUCGGAGGAACACCGGUGGCGAAGGCGGCCAACUGGGCUUUAACUGACGCUGAGGCUCGAAAGUGUGGGGAGCAAACAGGAUUAGAUACCCCGGUA
rnacentral:rRNA from 1 species